UACGAAGGGGGCUAGCGUUGUUCGGAAUUACUGGGCGUAAAGCGCACGUAGGCGGAUACUUAAGUCAGGGGUGAAAUCCCGGGGCUCAACCCCGGAACUGCCUUUGAUACUGGGUAUCUCGAGUCCGGAAGAGGUGAGUGGAAUUCCGAGUGUAGAGGUGAAAUUCGUAGAUAUUCGGAGGAACACCAGUGGCGAAGGCGGCUCACUGGUCCGGUACUGACGCUGAGGUGCGAAAGCGUGGGGGAGCAAACAGGG
rnacentral:rRNA from 1 species